CCUACGGGAGGCAGCAGUGAGGAAUAUUGGUCAAUGGACGAGAGUCUGAACCAGCCAAGUAGCGUGAAGGAUGACUGCCCUAUGGGUUGUAAACUUCUUUUAUAUGGGAAUAAACUGUUCCACGUGUGGGAUUUUGUAUGUACCAUAUUAAUAAGGAUCGGCUAACUCCGUGCCAGCAGCCGCGGUAAUACGGAGGAUCCGAGCGUUAUCCGGAUUUAUUGGGUUUAAAGGGAGCGUAGGUGGAUUGUUAAGUCAGUUGUGAAAGUUUGCGGCUCAACCGUAAAAUUGCAGUUGAAACUGGCAGUCUUGAGUACAGUAGAGGUGGGCGGAAUUCGUGGUGUAGCGGUGAAAUGCUUAGAUAUCACGAAGAACUCCGAUUGCGAAGGCAGUUCACUGGACUGCAACUGACACUGAGGCUCGAAAGUGUGUGUAUCAAACAGGAUUAGAUACCCUAGUAGUC
rnacentral:rRNA from 1 species